rnacentral:rRNA from 1 species
GCAGUCGGAACAGCUACUUGAUCUUGCGGUCGAGCUCCGCUGCGGCGAAAAAAGCCGCGCUCGUCUUGAGGAUCUCGUUGGCCCGCCGCAACUCACGGACCUCCCGCUCGAGCUCGGCCAACCGCUGUCCGUCGCUGGUCGUCGUGCCCGGCCGGACCCCACCAUCGACCUCUGCUUGUCGGACCCAGUUCCGCAACGUCUCGGGAUGCAUACCGAGCUGGCCGGCCACACGCGUGAUCGCGCCAGACCUCGUCGCGGGGUCCUGCCUCAACUCGACGGCCAUCCGGGUCGCGCGCUCACGCAACUCGUCGCCGUACUUCUUGGGUGCAGCCAUGACUCUCAUCCUCCAUGGAUUGAGAGCCUCCAUCAGACCCGGGGCGAUUCA